ACCUGCCGAAUACUAGGGCCCCGAAAAUGAAUGGCGCAUAUAGUACUACCGAUCUCAGACAUCAGUUCUAUUGAACUGAGAGUAGGGGGAUGUGGACAUUUUUGUGAAGGUGCAAUGUGAGUUGGACUGGAAGAAUGUCUAUUACAGAUCCUAAUUGAAGUAGCGAUUAUCCAGGCUUGUAUCCUGGGGGCUGAUGAGGAGUAGGGUUUCUGGACAACUUAAACAGAUCCAGAGUUAGUCGAUCCUAAUCUCAAUAAUGGGAGAAAGGGAGUACAGUUGAUAUUCUGUAACUGACAACAGUUCGCGGCAACGCAUACUAUUUUUCUCCGCCAAUCUUAUACCGUUGGUAGGGAUCUCUUUCCUACAUGACAGUACUAAUACCCAGGGAAACUGGUCAUCAGGCGAACUGCGGCGUUCUGCUGGCAAAACAUAGCUUCGGUUAUGUCAAUGGCUAUUGGAUUGGUCCAUGAAGCGAAAAAUAGUUUACUGUGUCACUCGUACCGAUAACCGCAUCAGGUCUUCUAGGUAAGUAGCCUAUGGCCAUUGAGGCAUGAUAGUUCAGGGAAUUCGGCCAAUUAGAGCUGUAACUUCGGGAUAAAGCUUGGCUCUGAUGAAAAUCAGAACCGAUUGUUACGCGGAGAGCCCAACUGUUUAAUAAAAACGUAGUGUCGCGCUGUGGUAGUAUAGCCAGUGAACGCGACAUGAAUCCUGCUCAGUGCUGUGUCUGUUAAUAUGGUUCAAGCCAACGAAGCACCGGUAAAUAGCUGGGGUAACUAUGACUCUUAUCAAAGUAGCGAAAUACCUCGUCACUUAAUUAGUGACCUGCAUGAACGGAGCUAUGAGGUUCUCACUGUCCCAAACUGUCUCUCAGCGAACCAACUGUAGUGGGAACGGUCACUAGAUAUCCAGCGGGGAAAGAAGACCCUGUAGAGCUCACUU
rnacentral:ncRNA from 1 species